UUCUUUUAGGACACAUGUACUCUGCUUUA
rnacentral:piRNA from 1 species